rnacentral:lncRNA from 1 species
ACCCCCCAACAGGCACCAGUGUGUGAUGUUCCCCUCCUGAAAAGGGAGGUAACAUUUUAAUUUAGAAAGGAAAGUAACAUUGAUUUAGUGCUCACCAUAUGCCAAACUUUAUACUUUGAUGAUUCUUAAUAUCAGUGUUUGGCUGUUUUACCCUUAUUUAUAACUUUAAACUGCUGACCCAACCUAAUAAAUCUUAAAAUUUAUAAAAUAAAUAUUAAGUAAUCAGGAUACUACCACUAUCCACAACUCACUCUGUAUAACUUGUCUGGAUUUGUACUCAGGCUUAUCUCCAUGGUUCUGCAUGCUUAGAACCUAGUUCCAUAAUCUAAACUUUUUUUUUUUUUACUUCAAGCUCUGCCUCCUGGGUUCACGCCAUUCUCCUGCCUCAGCCUCCCGAGUAGCUGGGACUACAGGCGCCUGCCACCACGCCCGAAAUAUUCUAUCACUUCUCCACUGUUCUGAAGGAAAUUAAGUAUUUGGUAUUGAAUUAGUGGUUAAUGAAAAUUUAAGGUCCACUGAAACAUUAUGUCCUUUCAUUAGAUCAUUACCUAGUCAUUUUGGUAUUGAUUACUAUGGUGUUCAUUGAUAAUCCAAUUGUCUUGUUUUAUUAAUUUGUUAAGAGGUGUUAGGAAGGCUUUAGAGACAAAAAUUUCUUAGUACAUAAGCGAUUUUUGUUUUCUAAAGUGCAUGAUGUAUAAUUAGUACCUAAUAUUUCUACUGAAUCCUGUUUUUGCUUCAUAAGAAAGUAGCUACUUUCCCCUCUUCUUCACAUUUUUCUUUUUUUUUUUUUUUUUUUUGAGACGGAGUCUCGCUCUGUCGCCCAGGCUGGAGUGCAGUGGCGCGAUCUCG